CAGUCGCCGCGGGAACACGAAGGGGGCUAGCGUUGUUCGGAAUCACUGGGCGUAAAGCGUACGUAGGCGGCUUUGUAAGUUAGAGGUGAAAGCCUGGUGCUCAACACCAGAACUGCCCUUAAGACUGCAUCGCUUGAACGUCGGAGAGGUGAGUGGAAUUCCGAGUGUAGAGGUGAAAUUCGUAGAUACUCGGAAGAACACCAGUGGCGAAGGCGGCUCACUGGACGACUGUUGACGCUGAGGUACGAAAGCGUGGGGAGCAAACAGGAUUAGAUACCCCGGUAGUCCCUGUCUCUUAUAC
rnacentral:rRNA from 1 species